UACGGAGGAGGCAAGCGUUAUCCGGAAUUAUUGGGCGUAAAGCGUCCGUAGGUGGCUCUUCAAGUCUGCUGUCAAAGAGCGGGGCUUAACCCUGCAAAGGCAGUGGAAACUGAAAGGCUAGAGAGCCGUAGGGGUAGAGGGAAUUCCCGGUGUAGCGGUGAAAUGCGUAGAGAUCGGGAAGAACACCGGUGGCGAAAGCGGGUUACUGGACAGCAACUGACGCUGAGGCACGAAAGCCAGGGGAGCGAACGGG
rnacentral:rRNA from 1 species